rnacentral:rRNA from 1 species
AUGCAGUGUUUCUAUGGUCAGUUGCCUGCAGGUGGGUCCCAUGGUCGCCUGGCUUCGCCGGUGAGCGUGGAGGCGGCGUGCCUGGCCGCGUUCGACACGCACCACGGCCUGGACUAUGGUCAUUGCGUGCGCUCCCUUGACACGGACCCGCGCAGUGCCGAGGCCUCCGGGAUCCACGGCCUGGCAGCCAACGUGCACGGCCAUGCCUUGGAACAGCUCAUGGCGGCGCUGGGCGCGUCCAAGAGCUGCGAGGAGCCGAGGACACCUGGAGGGGCACCUCAGCUCACGCCGUCCCCGUCGCCGCCCACAACCGCGAGUACGGCCGCAAGGUCCACAUCGCCGUCGGAUUCACCCACGUCUUCGACGUGUGAUCAUGGUCGGACCUCAGCCUGGCUCUUGCUUGCAUGCCUCCAUGAAUCAUCAUCUUCUUGCAUGGACUGGAUUUCUUCAUCGCCAUUGCCCCUGGAGCAGCGGCGGCGGCGUGGGCUCAGAGGCAUGCACCCCCAUCCCACCUGGCGUCUUAAAUUUGCAGUCCCACCCUCCCACAGUGCCACCUCAGCAAAUCCAGUCCUGAAACAGGGAUUUGAAUGUGGCGGUUCAUUUGCGUCGCUCUCUACAUCCUUAAGGAGGCACUGCACCCAUUCGUCACCACGACGCCAAACCCCACAGCGCCCCAAUCGCCCGCAACCCUUUCCCCCGGACACCGCAGCUGCCCUCCUCCUCCAUCCUCUCGCGCCCCCCUCCCACAUCUCAUCCAGCCCCCUUCCUCGUUCAUCCCUGAACAGAUCUGAGACGUGCGGGCAUCGAGGAGAAGGGCGACGGUGGUGGCGCUUGAUUUGUGGCAGCGUCAUGGAUCGGCCCCUGCUGAGCGACAAGAUUGCUGGAUUGCCACAAUCUCACCUCGCCCCACCAGCUUCCAGCGCCAUGGAUCCGCCGGAGACGGAGGGCAACAAAUCUUUUGACGCCAUGGCACUAGAGGUGGCUCCUCGAUGGAGCCGGCCGCUCUUGCUCGACGCCACUAUACACAACACCGAGUUCUUUUUCGACUUGUUGUUCAUCGCGUCGAUGGCUUCCACGGAGCAGAGGAAAGUAUGCCCUCUUCAUCUCGGCAGAGGAGCGGGACGGCCAGGAGCUGUCGUCCUGCUACCCUAUGCCAAUGGAUGCGCCUCCCAGAUGGCUAGCAACGGCAGAUCCAGCUGGAAAGGACUCUAUGAUUUAACCUCAGACUUCACAGAGUGCAUUGGUUCUUUGUCAUUUGGAGCAAUUUUAAUUUCAAGACCAUUUAUGCAUGACGAGAGGAAAUUCCACCGGCUGGCUCGCCCAGCGCCCCGCGGCAGCUACCCGCUGUCGGCACUCAACCAGCUGCUGAAAUCCAACACGCCGAGGUCAAAAGACUACCUUUUUAGCACCGGCGACGAGCUUCUGGGCGGCGGAGGCGCUGGGUUCGUGUGCGCUAGCGCUGGAUCCGCACGCGUCGAUGAUGGAUCCGCGUGCCCCGACGCCGGUGACGAAGUCGCGCUGGAUGUGGAGCAGCGUCGCGGCGGCGGAGCAACGGAGCUGCAGCGGUGGGGCGACAGUGGAGCGCCUACUCACGAGCUGAACCUCAAGAGUAGCAGUAACUUGUGCUUUUGCAGCAGUGUCCUCCCUUCCUCUCUUCUUUUCAGUAAAGUGUACUCAUCUCGCAGCUGCCCCCGCGCUGAAUUUAGUUUACUGAAUAUCGCUGAUGAACAUAUCUGCAGUAGGUCUCUGCCUGACAAUUGGAUUUAUCGCCGGGCUAGUGCUAUGCUUGAAGUCACUGGUCAUCGCCUCAUGGAGUCAUGGGCGACGGGGCCCUCUAGAGUUCACGCAGAGUUAUCUCGAAUUGAUGGGGGAUAUUCAGUGUUUAUUCAGCCACACUUGGUGUCUUGUGUUUGA